GAUGAACGCUGGCGGCGUGCCUAAUACAUGCAAGUCGAGCGAACAGAUAAGGAGCUUGCUCCUUUGACGUUAGCGGCGGACGGGUGAGUAACACGUGGGUAACCUACCUAUAAGACUGGGAUAACUUCGGGAAACCGGAGCUAAUACCGGAUAACAUUUGGAACCGCAUGGUUCUAAAGUGAAAGAUGGUUUUGCUAUCACUUAUAGAUGGACCCGCGCCGUAUUAGCUAGUUGGUAAGGUAACGGCUUACCAAGGCAACGAUACGUAGCCGACCUGAGAGGGUGAUCAGCCACACUGGAACUGAGACACGGUCCAGACUCCUACGGGAGGCAGCAGUAGGGAAUCUUCCGCAAUGGGCGAAAGCCUGACGGAGCAACGCCGCGUGAGUGAUGAAGGGUUUCGGCUCGUAAAACUCUGUUAUUAGGGAAGAACAAAUGUGUAAGUAACUGUGCACGUCUUGACGGUACCUAAUCAGAAAGCCACGGCUAACUACGUG
rnacentral:rRNA from 1 species